ensembl:lncRNA
GGAGGAUAUGACCUGUUCUGAAUAGGAGGAGGAGGAUGUGACCUAGUCUGAAUAGGAGGAUAUGACCUGGUCUGAAUAGGAGGAUAUGACCUGGUCUGAAUAGGAGGAUGUGACUAACAUAAAACACCGUACGAUCACCUCAAUUCAUUCCAAUUGAAACAAUGUCCAGUCUUUAGGUUGCAGUGGAUCUCUCUGCUAGCUACAGUACGUGUACAGAACACUAUGUCAUAACGACUACUGCUGAAGGCAUAUUUACAGUUUGUGCAACAGUGUGCAUGCAGAGGUCCCUCCUCCCACUCUUCCUAGUAGCUGUUCCAAGUAACUGCCCCCCCCGAUAGCAGGGCAGGCUGGGUAGAGUACAUGCACGUUGCCAUGUUAAAAUCUAGCUAUUGGGGUAUUAUUCUGCUACACCCGAUACAAAUCAUAUCUUGGUUUUCUGAUUCAGGUGAUCGAUUACCUCCAUAUCUAUGUUGUUGUCUGUCUUACGCUGUUCUGAGGGGGAUACUACAAAACAAGAUCAUUGAUGUAAACAAACAGCAGUAAACAAACAGCAGUAAACAAACAACAGAAAACAAACAGCAGUAAACAAACAACAGAAAACAAACAGCAGUAAACAAACAGCAGUAAACAAACAGCAGUCAACAAACAGCAGUCAACAAACAACAGUCAACAAACAGCAGUCAACAAACAACAGUAAAAUAUUUUGGAGAGCAAUAGAAGCAUAUCGUAUUGGACUAGAUCACCCAAGAUCACAAUAGAAUGAGAUUAGUCUGGCGGCCCAGUCUAUCCCGUCGCUAUAGUUUCUAUUCAUGAUUAGUCUGGCGGCCCAGUCUAACACACACACACACACACACGCACUUUGGAGUUGGGAUCACACACACUUUGGAGUUGGGAUCACACACACACUUUGGAGUUGGGAUCACACACACCUACAUACAUCAGGGAAUCCUCUCCUCUUUUUCAUCCCUCACUUCCUGUCCUUAGGGAUCAUCAUACCAUCUUCACUUCCUGUCCUUAGGGGUCAUCAUACCAUCUUCACUUCCUGUCCUUAGGGGUCAUCAUACCAUCCUCACUUCCUGUCCUUAGGGGUCAUCUUAUCAUCCUCACUUCCUGUCCUUAGGGGUCAUCAUAACAUCCUCACUUCCUGUCCUUAGGGGUCAUCAUACCAUCUUCACUUCCUGUCCUUAGGGGUCAUCAUACCAUCCUCACUUCCUGUCCUUAGGGGUCAUCUUAUCAUCCUCACUUCCUGUCCUUAGGGGUCAUCAUAACAUCCUCACUUCCUGUCCUUAGGGGUCAUCAUAACAUCCUCACUUCCUGUCCUUAGGGGUCAUCAUACCAUCCUCACUUCCUGUCCUUAGGAGUCAUCCUACCAUCCUGACUUCCUGUCCUUAGGGGUCAUCAUACCAUCCUCACUUCCUGUCCUUAGGGGUCAUCAUACGAUCUUCACUUCCUGUCCUUAGGGGUCAUCAUACCAUCCUCACUUCCUGUCCUUAGGGGUCAUCUUACCAUCCUCACUUCCUGUCCUUAGGGGUCAUCAUACC